GCCGCUCCUUGAGCGGUUGGCGAUGAGAGGAGGCCGUGGUUCUCACGGCCUGGGAGAAGACAGCAGGGGAGGAGAAAUUAGGGCAGGGCGGCGGCUGAUCAACAAUAUGUUGAUCACAGCCUGUUCUCAUUUUAUUGCAAUUAAGGUAUAAAUAACCUCCUAUUACAGAUUAACCUAAAAGGCCUUUAGCCUCUUUAUUCUACUGCUAAAAGGGCCUUGCUAACAACCCACUUAGCCUAAGCCGGUUCAGCCCCCUAAUUAGGACUACCAGCCUUGUUGCGGCGCCUGUACUGGACGCCCACCAUAACAUCUCUCGGCUCCUCGAGAAACAGCUCGUCCUCGAGCUGAAAUUUGGGGUAGCUUUCUCUGAACCGAGCCAAUGGUUCCCAAGUUGCCUCUGAUGCUGAAGACCCGGACCACUGCACAAGAAGGUGCCAUUCUUGGCGGCGUAGUCGUGCGCGCAGCACGCGCUCAGGUGUUGGCAGGACCCUCCCCUGGUGCAUCUCUGGGAGGGCUGGAGGAGCACUUGGCGUAUCACCUUUGAAGGGUUUGAGCAAGCCAACAUGGAAAACAUUAUGGAUGCGAGCGUCAUCUGGAAGUUGCAGCCGAUAAGCCACCGUCCCCACCUUUUCCAGCACCUGAAACGGACCUGCAUAUCUUGGACCCAGUUUGCUCUUCUUGUUGCCAACUAGUGCUCGUGCUUGGCUGUGUAGAAGUCGCAGCCAUACCCAGUCACCCACCUGGAAUUCCAGCUCACGAUGGUGUUCAUCAUAGUGCCGUUUUGCAUAUGCCUGUGCUUGCAGUAAUCUUUCUCGAACAUCCGAGAGAAAAAUGUCUCUGUCUUUUAAUAGAUCAUCGACUGCAUCUGUGGCUGCUGUUCCUUGUGUAUACGACAGUAAGGGUGGUGGUGACCUUCCAUAGACCACUUGGAAUGGUGUAGUGCGGAGAGCUGAGUGAAAGGCAGUGUUGUAGCAAUAUUCCGCCCAUGGCAACCAAUCGACCCACGCCCGCGGCCUAUCUCCUGUUAGGCAUCGCAGGUACAUGGCUAUAGUUUUAUUGACGACCUCGGACUGUCCAUCUGUCUGGGGGUGGAAAGCCGUGCUCAUGCGGAGUUUGACCCCAGCCACCUUGAAAAGAUCGCGCCAGAAGCUGCCUGUAAAGACUGGGUCACGAUCGCUGACAAUGGAAAGUGGAAAUCCAUGAAGACGGACUAUGUUGUCAAAGAAGGCUCGUGCCACUGAGGCUGCAGUAUAAGGAUGUCCCAGGGCAAUGAAAUGGGCAUAUUUGGAGAACCGAUCCACCACAGUUAAUAUGACUGAUUUGCCGUGCACCUUUGGGAGGCCUUCCACAAAGUCCAUCGCUAUGUCUGCCCAAACUUGUGAGGGAACUUCUAAGGGUUGCAGCAACCCUGCUGGGUGUAAGGCCUCAGUUUUGUUUUUCUGGCAGACUGUACAUGAUUUGACAAAGUCACGAACCAGAGUUCUGUCAUUUGGAAUGUAGAAGUCUGCGCGAAGCCUGUGUAAUGUCUUUUGGAACCCCCCAUGUCCCGCGCCAUGUGCUAGCUGUAGAAUAUGAAUUAUUGUGGGUGAUGUAGGUGGUACAAAUACCCUGGACCCAUGUAGUAUUAGGCCCUCUUGGAUGUGCCAUGGCGCCGAUUGGGUGCCAUUGAGGAUCUGUUCAUGUAGUUGUUUCCAUUCCGGUCUGCUGCUGCCAUCACUGCGUAUUUCAUCAUAUAGCUGGAACGAUGGUACAUAUAUGGCUAGGGACUCCAUUGCUUCAGCGUCCCUGCGGGAGAGAGCAUCCGCCACUGUGUUAAAACGUCCGGGUCGAUAUUCAACGGAAAAAUCAAACCCGAACAGUUUACUAAUCCAGUGGUGUUGCGGAACAGUUGAGAGGCGCUGGUCCAACAUGAACUUGAGGGCAAAAUGGUCUGUUCGAACCAGAAAACGACGGCCCCAUAAGUACGGCCUCCAAUGACGUACUGCCUGCACCAGACCGAUGAGCUCGCGUUCAUAAGCAGCGAGCUUCAAGUGUCGUGUGGCGAACGGUCUACUGAAGAAGGCAAUUGGGCCGUUGUCUUGAUGUAGCACUGCCCCAAACCCUGAACCGGAUGCGUCACAAUCCACGAUGAAUGAUUUGGUGAACUCCGGAAGGUGCAAAACCGGUGCUGUAGACAGUGCCUCCUUGAGUGCUGUAAAGGUUGUGGCUGCUUCUGCUGACCAUGCAAAACUGUCUUUUUUGAGGAGUUUGGUUAGGGGAGCUGCAAUUGUGCCAAAGUCCUUAAUAAAUUUGCGGUAAUAGCCCGCAAUUCCCAGAAAUCCUCGCAGCCCACGAGCUGAUUUAGGUGUUGGCCAGGCGGUGAUUGCUUCGACUUUGUCACUGUCCAUAGAGACCCCUGAUUCUGAGAUGACAUGUCCCAGGUAUACAAUAGAAGUGGCUCCAAAGCUGCAUUUAGAUUUCUUGACAAAUAAACUGUUGGUGCGAAGUAAAGUCAUCACUGCUCUGACAUGUUGAAGGUGGGCUGACCAGGACGGACUGUAUAUCAAUAUGUCAUCGAAGAAAACCAACACGCAGCGUCGCAACAGGGGCUGCAGUACAGAAUUCAUCAAGCUCUGGAACGUUGCUGGUGCAUUGGUAAGACCAAACGGCAUGACCAAAAAUUCAAAAUGACCAUGAUGUGUACGAAAGGCUGUCUUCUCAAUGUCAUCCUUGUGCAUACGGACCUGAUGGUACCCUGAACGGAGGUCCAACUUAGUGUAGAAUCGAGCUCCAUGGAGUUCAUCUAGCAACUCGUCAACCACUGGUAUAGGAUAUUUAUCCUUGAUAGUGUGUUCAUUGAGGGCUCUGUAAUCAAUGCAAAAACGCCAUGUAUUGUCUGGCUUCUUCACUAGGAGGACCGGGGCUGAGAAUGCGGAUGUACUGUGUCGGAUGAUACCACGGCGAAGCAUAUCCGCACAUUGAGCUUCUAAUUCAUCCUUUUGCAAUUGGGGGUAACGAUAUGGACGAACAGCUACUGGUGCAGUGCCUGGUUUCAGGUGGAUCCUGUGGUCACAAUGUCUGGCUGGCGGUACUGACUGAGGUUCCUCAAAGACAUCCUCAAAGGACUGCAGCAAGUGAUCCAUCAUGUGCUUGGGUUCAGUGCUGAUGCUACAUGUGGUUGGUGUAGUGGUGUCUGUUCGGACGGACCCCAAACCCUUCCACAGUAUGCGCCGACCUUCAUGCCAGAAGGCCAUGCAAAGGUCCUGGAGAUCCCAUAAUACUGGUCCCAAUGUUCUCAGGAAUGCUGUCCCUAGAAUGAUCUCAAAUGUAUCCAAGGGAAUUGCAUAUGCCUCAAUGGUGAACUUCUCCUUGUUGAUGUCAAUGGCUGCGCGACGAGUUACUCCCUGGCAGAAAACUGGGUCUCCAUUUGCCACCUUGACAUGGCGACCUGGUGUGGGUUCCAAAGUAACCCCACACUGUUGUGCUGCCUUGCAGUUGAUGAAGUUAUGUGUUGAACCCGUGUCAAGUAGGGCCAGCAGCUCCUGACCGUUGAGGACUACCCGCAGCUGCAUGGUGUCCUCCCUUCUAAUCCCAGUUAUUGCAUGUAGGGAAACCACUGGGUCCUGCUCUUCCUGGUCAUCAUCUGUGUCACCCUUGAUCUCAUCAUCAGCAAAGUCUGUGACCUCCAGAUAGAAUAGCCUGGGACAGCGGUGGCCUCGUACAUAGGGCUCGUCACAAUUGUAACAUAGCCCUUGUUUACGUCGUUCCGCCAUCUCGGCGGGGGUGAGGCGCUUGAACGGGACUGGUGAUUGUGUUGGUGGCUGCUGGGGUGUAUUCUUGGCAGCAUUGUCGGUCAUGUGUGUGAGCACCGGUGGCCGACCAGAUGGUCUGGGGGCCCUGCCAGUCUGCUGGGGCUGUUGAGCACUAUCAAUGACCUGAGAGCGACGUUCAUAUGCCCUUGCUAGUCGAGAAGCCUGCUGCAGAUUCUGUGGGUUCAUCAGCUCGACAUCGAUUUUAAUCCGCUCUGGCAAUCCCGCCGUGAAGAGCUGCACUUGCUGGUCAGGUGCCAACGGAGAGGUGUGGCACAACAGUGACGAGAAGCGCUCUUGGUAAUCAUCCACGGUUGUCCGGAAACGAAGACGGGCCAGUUCGCCUAAUGGGUUGGUGCGUAGUGGCGGACCAAAGCGCUCAUUGCAGAGCUCUUUGAAUUGAGGCCAUGUCACCGUUGCACAGUCCCGUUCCACCAUGAAAUACCAGGUAUGUGCUGCUCCCUUGAGGUGAUAGGAGGCGAGCCACACUUUGUCCUCCUCAAUCGUGCGUUGGCCUCUGAAAUACUGCUCGCAGUGGUUCAGCCAUUCGAGGGGAUCCUCCUUCCCAUCAAAUGUUGGAAACUCCAUCUUGUAGUGUCGCGGAGCUCCUGCGUCGAAAGACUGCGGGGUGGGAUGGGUUGGGAUAUGCUGUAAUGGCUGCUGUGGUAUGUAUGGUGGAAAGGAUGGAAGAGGUGACGGCGAGUGGGGCAUGGGGAUUUGGUGGAUUGGUAAUGUGUUGGAUGAUGGUGGAGCUGUAGCUGGUGGUGGCCUGGUGGAGGUCGAUGGUGCCUGUGUCUCUGGAAUGCCGCCAUAACCUGGGAGACCGUAAGGAAACCCUGGAUGGUUGCCGGCGGCGGACACUAUGGGAGUUGUGCGCCCAUCGAUUUCUGUCACAUGCAGCGCCAGAUUGGACACCUUGGUGGCGAGAUCUGCAAGGGCCUUCAUCAUGGUGUCCAUCUUCUGCUCCAGGGCUGCGCUGGUGGUGUUUGGCGCCGCAGCAGAUGCGACUUCGCUGGCAGUGUUGUCGUCGUUGCCCGGCAUCUCUGAUACCAGAUUGGUAUGCCCUCUUCUCCUUAGGUUGUAGCUGUGUGUGGUAGGUGGCCGCUCCUUGAGCGGUUGGCGAUGAGAGGAGGCCGUGGUUCUCACGGCCUGGGAGAAGACAGCAGGGGAGGAGAAAUUAGGGCAGGGCGGCGGCUGAUCAACAAUAUGUUGAUCACAGCCUGUUCUCAUUUUAUUGCAAUUAAGGUAUAAAUAACCUCCUAUUACAGAUUAACCUAAAAGGCCUUUAGCCUCUUUAUUCUACUGCUAAAAGGGCCUUGCUAACAGCCCACUUAGCCUAAGCCGGUUCAGCCCCCUAAUUAGGACUACCAGCCUUGUUGCGG
rnacentral:lncRNA from 1 species